UGUUGACUUUGCUAUGAGGCACCUGACCCUUGGGGAUGCGCCCCCUCCUGGUCGGUCGAUACAAAAGGAGUUCGGACUUGGACGGGGAGAGCCGGAGCCCCGUGCCCGCCAAGAAAUCC
rnacentral:lncRNA from 1 species